UACGAAGGGUGCAAGCGUUAUUCGGAAUUACUGGGCGUAAAGGGUGCGUAGGCGGUUCGUUAAGUCUGUCGUGAAAUCCCCGGGCUCAACCUGGGAAUGGCGAUGGAUACUGGCGAGCUAGAGUGUGUCAGAGGAUGGUGGAAUUCCCGGUGUAGCGGUGAAAUGCGUAGAGAUCGGGAGGAACAUCAGUGGCGAAGGCGGCCAUCUGGGACAACACUGACGCUGAGGCACGAAAGCGUGGGGAGCAAACAGG
rnacentral:rRNA from 1 species